rnacentral:lncRNA from 1 species
UCUUUUUUCUCUUGGUAUGACAUUACUUGACUGGGUCAUGAGACAUACAAAGUUUUAAUUCUCGAAUGGAAUUAGUUGAUUUUCUCCCAAUUUUCGUCUCAUAUAUUACAUACAUGCACGAAAAAGCCUUGUCCCAUACAAUGAACAGCAGAAAAGGAAUCUUCAAUUACUUGAAGUCGAAGAGGAAAACUUCAAAGAAAUUACAACCACGCAAACAAUAG